AUGGUUAGCAGUGACUCAAUUGUUUGGGCUGUCUCCUCUGCUUUUUCCAGGCCAUUGCAGAGAUCUGGAUGGAAAGUGGAGCAGCUGGGUCACAAACCACCGCCCAUGUGGGAUGCUGGCAUUGCAGGCAGCAGCUUUACCUGCUAUGCGAUAAUGCGGCCCUGCAAAAUCUUCUUGAAGUUUCUCUGAGUUCCCUCUUCAUGGUUCUGGAGAAUAUUGUGAGCAAGUAUUAACAAAGUGGAUUUGUCAGACUUCCUUAGAUGAGACUACAUGUGAGUAUGCCUGCAAGGGUAUGAAUGAGUCAUAAAAGGUUUGUGGUUCUGGGAUUCCAUUUGGUGCAAAUAUUCAUGGGGAAAUAACCAUUUGUGCAUUUAGUAAUUCAUUGUGUUUAGGAUCUAUUGGGUAAAUCAUAGGAUUCACUCACACCUGCCCCACGCACGCCUCUUUUAAUACGUAGAGUUUUUGUUAGUAGUGAAAGCAUAUGCCUGAUCUUUAUCUUUGUUAGACUUACCCAGUAAAUGUGAUUCCCCCAUAUGUUGAUGACCAUUAUGAGAUUGCUGUUAAAUUCUUAGAUUUGAUGAAGUCUGUGGAAAACUCCUGCUUUAAGUUGAAACCUAUAUGAACAUGGCACAAUGAUUAUAACAAAUCCUUGAUAAAUACCAGUUAAAGUUACCAAUUAAAUAUAAUGCUAGGUUAAAAUUUCCUGAAAAUUAAUAUUUCAGGAUAUGUAAUACUAAUGAAGUUGAGUGAAAUGCCAUAAGUCUGCUUGCUUUAUUGUAUUUAGGCAUUGUAGCAUUUAACAAAGGACUGUAUUCCUUAAGAAACAGAUAAUAAAAUAAUCUUCAUUUACUACCCCA
rnacentral:lncRNA from 1 species